UUAGUCUUAUAAUUUAAGACUGGAAUGAAAGAAUAAACGAGACAAGCCUUUUCUUAAUUAUUAUUUUUAAAAUUUACUUUUUAGUAAAAAGGCUAAAAUAUUUCCUUAAGACAAAAAGACCCUAUAAAGCUUUACACUAAAUAAUUUAAUAAAUUAACUGUGUGUUUAACUGGGGCGGUAGAGAGAAAAACACUCUUAUAUAAAAAAAAUAGGAAUAUUUUAAUACCCAAAAUUUUUGAAGAUUAAAUAAGUUACUUUAGGGAUAACAGCGUUAUACAUUUAGAAAGCUCAAAUAGACAAGUGUGUUUGCGACCUCGAUGUUGGAUUAGGUUUCCUUUAUUACGCAAGAG
rnacentral:rRNA from 1 species